rnacentral:rRNA from 1 species
AUGUGCGCGAGUCAUUGGGACACAACUAAACCUAAAGGCGUAAUGAAAGUAAAGGUUUGCCUUGCGUAGACCGCGGGAAGAUGGGCGGCGCGCCCUUAAAAGUGCCCGCUCCGCACUCCCGGGGCGUCUUGUUCUCAUUGCGAGAAGAGGCGCACCAAGAGCGUACACGCUGGGACCCGAAAGAUGGUGAACUAUGCCUGGUCAGGACGAAGUCAGGGGAAACCCUGAUGGAGGUCCGUAGCGAUUCUGACGUGCAAAUCGAUCGUCGGAACUGGGUAUAGGGGCGAAAGACUAAUCGAACCAUCUAGUAGCUGGUUCCCUCCGAAGUUUCCCUCAGGAUAGCUGGCGCUCGUUGCGUACGAGUUUCAUCCGGUAAAGCGAAUGAUUAGAGGCAUUGGGGUCGAAACGACCUCAACCUAUUCUCAAACUUUAAAUGGGUGAGAUCUCCGGCUUGCUCGAACACU